GGCGGGGUAGCUCAGUUGGUUAGAGCACGGGACUCAUAAGCCCGGGGUCGGCAAACUAAACUCCACAAGUCU
rnacentral:tRNA from 1 species